GGCGGGUCGCUCCGCAUUGCACACCCGCCAAUCGGGUCAGGUCUGGAAAGAAGCAGCCCUAACGGGAAUGUGUAAGUGCCGGAGGUUCGGCUCGCCACC
rnacentral:SRP_RNA from 1 species